AUUGAACGCUGGCGGCAGGCCUAACACAUGCAAGUCGAACGAGUGGCGGACGGGUGAGUAAUGUCUGGGAAACUGCCUGAUGGAGGGGGAUAACUACUGGAAACGGUAGCUAAUACCGCAUACCAUCGGAUGUGCCCAGAUGGGAUUAGCUUGUAGGUGGGGUAACGGCUCACCUAGGCGACGAUCCCUAGCUGGUCUGAGAGGAUGACCAGCAAAACUGGAACGGGGACACGGUCCAGACCCCUACGGGAGGCAGCAGUGGGGAAUAUUGCACAAUGGGCGCAAGCCGGAUGCAGCCAGGCGGCGUGUAUGAAGAAGGCUUUCGGGUUGUAAAGUACUUUCAGCGGGGAGGCGUUACCGAAAGAAGAAGCACCGGCUAACUCCGUGCCAGCAGCCGCGGUAAUAC
rnacentral:rRNA from 1 species